rnacentral:rRNA from 1 species
AUUGCCCCAGUAACGGCGAGUGAAGCGGCAACAGCUCAAAUUUGAAAUCUGGCUCUCGGGCCCGAGUUGUAAUUUGUAGAGGAUGCUUUUGGUGAGGUGCCUUCCGAGUUCCCUGGAACGGGACGCCAUAGAGGGUGAGAGCCCCGUCUGGUUGGACGCCGAACCUCUGUAAAGCUCCUUCGACGAGUCGAGUAGUUUGGGAAUGCUGCUCUAAAUGGGAGGUAUAUGUCUUCUAAAGCUAAAUACCGGCCAGAGACCGAUAGCGCACAAGUAGAGUGAUCGAAAGAUGAAAAGAACUUUGAAAAGAGAGUUAAACAGUACGUGAAAUUGUUGAAAGGGAAGCGCUUGUGACCAGACUUGGGCUUGGUUGAUCAUCCGGGGUUCUCCCCGGUGCACUCUUCCGGCCUAGGCCAGCAUCAGUUCGCCCUGGGGGAUAAAGGCUUCGGGAACGUGGCUCUCUCCGGGGAGUGUUAUAGCCCGCUGCGUAAUACCCUGUGGCGGACUGAGGUUCGCGCAUUCGCAAGGAU